AUCACAUGCCAAGUUUGGCCUC
rnacentral:siRNA from 1 species